rnacentral:rRNA from 1 species
ACGGCUCAGUAACACGUGGACAACCUACCCUGAGGUCGGGGAUAAACCCGGGAAACUGGGUAUAAUACCCGAUAGAUCUAGAUCGCUGGAAUGCUUUUAGGUCUAAAGUUCCGACGCCUCAGGAUGGGUCUGCGGCCUAUCAGGGUAGUAGUGGGUGUAAAGUACCUACUAGCCCACGACGGGUACGGGUUGUGAGAGCAAGAGCCCGGAGAUGGAUUCUGAGACACGAAUCCAGGCCCUACGGGGUGCAGCAGGCGCGAAACCUUUACAAUGCUGGCAACAGCGAUAAGGGGACCUCGAGUGCUACGAUACAAUCGUGGCUGUCUAGUUGCCUAAAAAGCAAUUGAUAGCAAGGGCCGGGCAAGACCGGUGCCAGCCGCCGCGGUAACACCGGCGGCUCGAGUGGUAACCGCUAUUAUUGGGUCUAAAGGGUCUGUAGCCGGCUUAGUUAGUCUCUUGAGAAAUCUGGCCGCUCAACGGUCAGGCGUUCAGGGGAUACUGCUAAAGCUCGAGACCGGGAGAGGUGAGAGGUACUUCAGGGGUAGGGGUGAAAUCUUGUAAUCCUUGAAGGACCACCAGUGGCGAAGGCGUCUCACCAGAACGGAUCUGACGGCAAGGGACGAAAGCUAGGGGCACGAACCGGAUUAGAUACCCGGGUAGUCCUAGCCGUAAACGAUACUCGCUAGGUGUCGGCCACGGUGCGACCGUGGUCGGUGCCGUAGGGAAGCCGUGAAGCGAGCCACCUGGGAAGUACGGCCGCAAGGCUGAAACUUAAAGGAAUUGGCGGGGGACCAC